CCCUUAGAUGUUCUGGGCCGCACACGCGCUACACUGAAGGAGGCAGCGUGUACUCCUGGAUCGAAAGAUUUGGGUAACCCGCGAAUCUCCUUCGUGCUAGGGAUUGAGGUUUGCAAUUAUCCUUCAUGAACGAGGAAUUCCCAGUAAGUGCAAGUCAUAAGCUUGCGCUGACUACGUCCCUGCCCUUUGUACACACCGCCCGUCGCUACUACCGAUUGAAUGAUUUAGUGAGGAGUUCGGACUGGGACCGAUGCGGCUUUCGGGCUGCGUCGGUAUUCUGGAAAGAUGUCCAAACUGUAUCAUUUAGAGGAAGUAAAAGUCGUAACA
rnacentral:rRNA from 1 species